AACGAACGCUGGCGGCAUGCCUAACACAUGCAAGUCGAACGAGACCUUCGGGUCUAGUGGCGCACGGGUGCGUAGCGCGUGGGAACCUGCCCUUAGGUUCGGAAUAACUCCCCGAAAGGGGUGCUAAUACCGGAUAAUGUCUUCGGACCAAAGAUUUAUCGCCUUUGGAUGGGCCCGCGUUGGAUUAGCUAGUUGGUAGGGUAAAAGCCUACCAAGGCGACGAUCCAUAGCUGGUCUGAGAGGAUGAUCAGCCACACUGGGACUGAGACACGGCCCAGACACCUACGGGAGGCAGCAGUGGGGAAUAUUGGACAAUGUGCGAAAGCCUGAUCCAGCAAUGCCGCGUGAGUGAUGAAGGCCUUAGAGUUGUAAAGCUCUUUUACCCGUGAUGAUAAUGACAGUACCGUGAGAAUAAGCUCCGGCUAACUCCGUG
rnacentral:rRNA from 1 species